GACGAACGCUGGCGGCGUGCCUAAUACAUGCAAGUCGAACGCCGUUGCGCACGGGUGAGUAAAGCGUAGGUAACUGCCUCAUAGCGGGGGAUAACUAAUGGAAACGAUAGCUAAUACCGCAUACUGUGAGAUGGACCUGCGUUGUAUUAGCUAGUUGGUGAGGUAAAGGCUCACCAAGGCUACGAUCCAUAGCCUGGCUGAGAGGGUGGACGGCCACACCUGGACUGGGACCAGGCUCAGACCCCCUCGGGAUGCAGCAGGAGGGAAACUGUGGCAAUGGGCGGAAGUCUGACCGAGCAACGCCGCGUGAGUGAAUAAGGGUUUCGGAGCGGAAAGCUCUGUUGUGAGGGAAGCGGUAACUAACCAGAAAGGACCGGCUAACUACGUGCCAGCAGCCGCGGUAAUUC
rnacentral:rRNA from 1 species